UACGGAGGGUGCGAGCGUUGUCCGGAAUCACUGGGCGUAAAGGGCGCGUAGGCGGCAGGCCAAGCGUGCGGUGAAAGUCCGGGGCUCAACCCCGGAUCUGCCGUGCGGACUGGUUUGCUAGAGCACUGUAGAGGCGAGUGGAAUUCCGGGUGUAGCGGUGGAAUGCGUAGAGAUCCGGAAGACACCGGUGGCGAAGGCGGCUCGCUGGGCAGUGGCUGACGCUGAGGCGCGACAGCGUGGGGAGCAAACAGG
rnacentral:rRNA from 1 species